rnacentral:rRNA from 1 species
GCGUCUCAGUUCGGAUUGCAGGCUGCAACUCGCCUGUAUGAAGUCGGAAUUGCUAGUAAUCGCGGAUCAGCAUGCCGCGGUGAAUACGUUCCCGGGCCUUGUACACACCGCCCGUCACACCAUGAGAGCCGGGAACACCCGAAGUCCGUAGUCUAACCAUUAAGGAGGACGCGGCCGAAGGUGGGUUUGGUAAUUGGGGUGAAGUCGUAACAAGGUACC